AUUGAACGCUGGCGGCAGGCCUAACACAUGCAAGUCGAGCGAGCGGCGGACGGGUGAGUAAUGUCUGGGAAACUGCCUGAUGGAGGGGGAUAACUACUGGAAACGGUAGCUAAUACCGCAUACCAUCGGAUGUGCCCAGAUGGGAUUAGCGAGUAGGUGGGGUAACGGCUCACCUAGGCGACGAUCCCUAGAUGGUCUGAGAGGAUGACCAGCCACACUGGAACUGGGACACGGUCCAGACGCCUACGUGAGGAAGGAGUGGGGAAUAUUGCACAAUGGGCGCAAGACUGAUGCAGCCAUGCCGCGGGUAUGAAGAAGGCCUUCGGGUUGUAAAGUACUUUCAGCGGGGAGGCGUUACCCGCAGAAGAAGCACCGGCUAACUCCGUGCCAGCAGCCGCGGUAAUAC
rnacentral:rRNA from 1 species